rnacentral:tRNA from 1 species
GGUGGCCCAAUGGUAGAGUGCUUGCCUCGCAUGCAUGAAGCCCUGAGUUCGAUUCCUCAGCACCA